UGGGGAAUUUUGGACAAUGGGCGAAAGCCUGAUCCAGCAAUGCCGCGUGUGUGAAGAAGGCCUUCGGGUUGUAAAGCACUUUUGUCCGGAAAGAAAUCCUUGGCUCUAAUACAGUCGGGGGAUGACGGUACCGGAAGAAUAAGCACCGGCUAACUACGUGCCAGCAGCCGCGGUAAUACGUAGGGUGCAAGCGUUAAUCGGAAUUACUGGGCGUAAAGCGUGCGCAGGCGGUUUGCUAAGACCGAUGUGAAAUCCCCGGGCUCAACCUGGGAACUGCAUUGGUGANUGGCAGGCUAGAGUAUGGCAGAGGGGGGUAGAAUUCCACGUNUAGCAGUGAAAUGCGUAGAGAUGUGGAGGAAUACCGAUGGCGAAGGCAGCCCCCUGGGCAAUACUGACGCUCAUGCACGAAAGCGUGGGGAGCAAACAGGAUUAGAUACCCUGGUAGUCCACGCCCUAAACGAUGUC
rnacentral:rRNA from 1 species